UUUCACAUCUUGCCUACAUCUCUCCCUUUGUAGAUAUAUGAGAGAGGGAUAGGGUUGGUUUCUGUCUAAUCUGACUAUAUGUUGAUUUCAGGACACAAUUGGAAGGUAUUACUGUGUUGGAUUGAAGCAUGCUAAUGAUAUCAUCGGAACAACCACAGAGGAGCUUGUCCUCAAGGCAAAACAGGGUUCCUUGAUUUCCUGAUGCUGUGUGGCUAAGGACCUAAGGUGUUAAUUCUGCUAUCAAGCACCUAAGAGCAGACAAUUCAGCUUAGAGGUUUUCCAGUUCUUUUUUUUCUUGUUUUUUUCUAUUUUUUUUUUUAUUUAAUGGGUUCUUUCUAAAGGCACUUGUCUAUUAAUGUAUGUAAUUUGAUUUGACAAGUUUAUUCCCAUUCUUUCUUUUCUC